CCCGCACAAGCGGUGGAGCAUGUGGUUUAAUUCGACGCAACGCGAAGAACCUUACCAGGGCUUGACAUCCUCUGACCGCAUAUGAAAGUAUGUUUUUCUGGCUUCGGUCAGACAGAGGGACAGGUGGUGCAUGGUUGUCGUCAGCUCGUGUCGUGAGAUGUUGGGUUAAGUCCCGCAACGAGCGCAACCCCUACGUUUAGUUGCUAACGUGUAACGAUGAGCACUCUAGGCGGACUGCCGUUGACAAAACGGAGGAAGGUGGGAUGACGUCAAAUCAUCAUGCCCCUUAUGUUCUGGGCUACACACGUGCUACAAUGGCCGGUACAAAGGGACGCAAAGCCGCGAGGUGGAGCAAAUCCGAUAAAAGCCGGUCUCAGUUCGGAUUGCAGGCUGCAAUUCGCCUGCAUGAAGUCGGAAUCGCUAGUAAUCGCAGGUCAGCAUACUGCGGUGAAUACGUUCCCGGGCCUU
rnacentral:rRNA from 1 species